UGACGCAUAGAGUUAAUCGAGCUCACUGAUGGAAUAGUGGGUCGAAGGACGUAGGUUGUUAAGUAGGCAAAUCCGCUUAACGUUAGACCGAGAUCUUACAGGCUCUUGACACUCUUCGGAGGAGAUGGAGAAUCGAUGAUACUGUCGUGCCAAGAAAAGCCACUAAGUUUAUUAUAUGUUGCCCGUACCGUAAACCGACACAGGUGGGUGGGAUGAGUAUUCUAAGGCGCGUGGAAGAACCCUCUUUAAGGAACUCUGCAAAAUAGCACCGUAUCUUCGGUAUAAGGUGUGCCUACUUUGGUAUAUGGACUUGCUCCAAAAAGCUAGAGAGGUUGCAACAAAGAGUCCCUCCCGACUGUUUACCAAAAACACAGCACUUUGCUAACACGUAAGUGGAUGUAUAAGGUGUGACGCCUGCCCGGUGCUCGAAGGUUAACUGAUGAUGUCAGCGCAAGCGAAGCAUUUGAUUGAAGCCCGAGUAAACGGCGGCCGUAACGAUAACGGUCCUAAGGUAGCGAAAUUCCUUGUCAGUUAAAUACUGACCUGCAUGAAUGGCGUAACGAGAUGGGAGCUGUCUCAAAGAGGGAUCCAGUGAAAUUGUAGUGGAGGUGAAAAUUCCUCCUACCCGCGGAAAGACGGAAAGACCCCGUGCACCUUUACUACAGCUUGACACUGUAGCUUGGAUAUUCAUGUGCAGGAUAGGUGGGAGGCUAUGAUGACUAGACGCAAGUAGAGUCGGAGCCAUCCUUGAGAUACCACCCUUGAAUAUUUGAGUUACUAACUGCGAUGAGUUAUCCUCAUUCAGGACAAUGUCUGGUGGGUAGUUUGACUGGGGCGGUCGCCUCCUAAAUAGUAACGGAGGCUUACAAAGGUUAGUUCAAAGCGGUUGGAAAUCGCUUGUUGAGUAUAAUGGCAUAAACUAGCUUGACUGUGAGACCUACAAGUCGAACAGAGACGAAAGUCGGUCAUAGUGAUCCGGUGGUUCUGCGUGGAAGGGCCAUCGCUCAAAGGAUAAAAGGUACGCCGGGGAUAACAGGCUGAUCUCCCCCAAGAGCUCACAUCGACGGGGAGGUUUGGCACCUCGAUGUCGGCUCAUCGCAUCCUGGGGCUGUAGUCGGUCCCAAGGGUAUGGCUGUUCGCCAUUUAAAGCGGUACGCGAGCUGGGUUCAGAACGUCGUGAGACAGUUCGGUCCCUAUCUUCCGUGGGCGUAGGAAAGUUGAAGAGAUUUGUCCCUAGUACGAGAGGACCGGGAUGAACCAACCACUGGUGUACCAAUUGUUCUGCCAAGAGCAUCGUUGGGUAGCCACGUUGGGAUGUGAUAAGAGCUGAAAGCAUCUAAGCUCGAAGCCAACUCUAAGAUGAACUUUCCCUGGAGUUCCCAGCAAGACUAGCUGGUUGAUAGGCUGGAUGUGUAAUGGGUGUAA
rnacentral:rRNA from 1 species